rnacentral:rRNA from 1 species
GAUGAACGCUGGCGGCGUGCCUAAUACAUGCAAGUCGAGCGAACAGACGAGGAGCUUGCUCCUCUGACGUUAGCGGCGGACGGGUGAGUAACACGUGGAUAACCUACCUAUAAGACUGGGAUAACUUCGGGAAACCGGAGCUAAUACCGGAUAAUAUAUUGAACCGCAUGGUUCAAUAGUUAAAUACGGUUUUGCUGUCACUUAUAGAUGGAUCCGCGCCGCAUUAGCUAGUUGGUAAGGUAACGGCUUACCAAGGCAACGAUGCGUAGCCGACCUGAGAGGGUGAUCGGCCACACUGGAACUGAGACACGGUCCAGACUCCUACGGGAGGCAGCAGUAGGGAAUCUUCCGCAAUGGGCGAAAGCUUGACGGAGCAACGCCGCGUGAGUGAUGAAGGUCUUCGGAUCGUAAAACUCUGUUAUUAGGGAAGAACAAAUGUGUAAGUAACUAUGCACGUCUUGACGGUACCUAAUCAGAAAGCCACGGCUAACUACGUG